ACGGCUCAGUAACACGUGGACAACCUACCCUUAGGUCGGGGAUAAACCCGGGAAACUGGGUAUAAUACCCGAUAGAUCUCGGCUGCUGGAAUGCAUCGAGAUCGAAAGCUCCGGCGCCUAAGGAUGGGUCUGCGGCCUAUCAGGUAGUAGUGGGUGUAGCGUACCUACUAGCCUACGACGGGUACGGGUUGUGAGAGCAAGAGCCCGGAGAUGGAUUCUGAGACACGAAUCCAGGCCCUACGGGGUGCAGCAGGCGCGAAAACUUUACAAUGCUGGAAACAGCGAUAAGGGGACCUCGAGUGCCAGGUUACAAAUCUGGCUGUCGUGAUGCCUAAAAAGCAUUGCAUAGCAAGGGCCGGGCAAGACCGGUGCCAGCCGCCGCGGUAACACCGGCGGCUCGAGUGGUAACCGUUAUUAUUGGGUCUAAAGGGUCUGUAGCCGGCCGGAUAAGUCUCUUGGGAAAUCCAGCAGCUCAACUGUUGGGCUUUCAGGAGAUACUGUCUGGCUCGAGGCCGGGAGAGGUGAGAGGUACUUCAGGGGUAGGGGUGAAAUCUUGUAAUCCUUGAAGGACCACCAGUGGCGAAGGCGUCUCACCAGAACGGACCUGACGGCAAGGGACGAAAGCUAGGGGCACGAACCGGAUUAGAUACCCGGGUAGUCCUAGCCGUAAACGAUACUCGCUAGGUGUCGGCCACGGUGCGACCGUUGUCGGUGCCGUAGGGAAGCCGUGAAGCGAGCCACCUGGGAAGUACGGCCGCAAGGCUGAAACUUAAAGGAAUUGGCGGGGGAGCAC
rnacentral:rRNA from 1 species